AACAAAACCUAUUCCCUUCAUCGAACGGGAAAGGGAAGACGGCUAGAAACAAAAUCAAGCGGACACAAUAUAACAAAAUCACGCAGACACAAUAAAUUUACGGCAGAGAUAAUCUUCUUCCCCAGGAACUCAAGAACUUCUCAAAAGUCUUGAGUUCUGCUGGCCGCAACUCUAUUCUACCGUAGAAUAUUGUGAAAAGUCUUAUCUUCAAAACGAGCAGAAACAAAUAACCAAAUAGGGAACCUGACACACUUGGUACACAUUGCUAAUCAACGGACUCCAGCUGAUAUGAACUGCUACAACUUCAGAAGAUAGAGAACCAACACAGGGACCUGAUCCCUUGUGUUUCCCUGACAGCAGUACAAAGUCAACUGUGUACAGCUGAAAAGUGAAUGCCUGCACUGUACAUAGAAACAGUGCAGCGCAAUUCUGCAGUCACUUGUCCUUUGACCAACCAAGUGAUUACAUCAUUCAAGUGAUAUCAUCCAAGUUGUAUUAACAAGAAUAUUACAACAGAA